rnacentral:rRNA from 1 species
UGGCGCACGGGUGCGUAACGCGUAACCAACCUACCCGAAUCUGGGGGAUAGCCCGCCGAAAGGCGGAUUAAUACCGCAUAAAACCACAGUGCGGCAUCGCACAAUGGUUAAAGAUUUAUUGGAUUCGGAUGGGGUUGCGUGCCAUUAGCUAGUUGGGGGGGUAACGGCCCACCAAGGCGACGAUGGCUAGGGGAGCUGAGAGGCUGGUCCCCCACACGGGCACUGAGAUACGGGCCCGACUCCUACGGGAGGCAGCAGUAGGGAAUAUUGGGCAAUGGUCGAGAGACUGACCCAGCCAUGCCGCGUGCAGGAUGAAGGCUUUCUGAGUCGUAAACUGCUUUUGCCAGGGAAGAAUAAGGGGGAUGCGUCCUCCGACGACGGUACCUGGUGAAUAAGCACCGGCUAACUCCGUGCCAGCAGCCGCGGUAAUACGUAGGGUGCGAGCGUUAAUCGGAAUUACUGGGCGCAAAGCGUGCGCAGGCGGUUAUACAAGACAGUUGUGAAAUCCCCGGGCUCAACCUGGGAAUUGCAUCUGUGAC